rnacentral:ncRNA from 1 species
CUUUGAUAAAGGCAAACUUAUUGAAAAAUAAGGACGCAAAACUAAAGGUCUAAAGUCCUGGUUAGGGAACUAUGAUCGCCGGGUUGCCGAA